AUUGAACGCUGGCGGCAUGCUUUACACAUGCAAGUCGAACGGUAACAGGCCGCAAGGUGCUGACGAGUGGCGAACGGGUGAGUAAUGCAUCGGAACGUGCCCAGUCGUGGGGGAUAACUACUCGAAAGAGUAGCUAAUACCGCAUACGAUCUAUGGAUGAAAGCGGGGGACCGUAAGGCCUCGCGCGAUUGGAGCGGCCGAUGUCAGAUUAGGUAGUUGGUGGGGUAAAGGCUCACCAAGCCAACGAUCUGUAGCUGGUCUGAGAGGACGACCAGCCACACUGGGACUGAGACACGGCCCAGUCUCCUACGGGAGGCAGCAGUGGGGAAUUUUGGACAAUGGGCGCAAGCCUGAUCCAGCAAUGCCGCGUGCAGGAAGAAGGCCUUCGGGUUGUAAACUGCUUUUGUACGGAACGAAACGGCUCUGGUUAAUACCCGGGGCUAAUGACGGUACCGUAAGAAUAAGCACCGGCUAACUACGUG
rnacentral:rRNA from 1 species